rnacentral:rRNA from 1 species
GAAAGUAAAAAAGGGCGCAUGGCGGAUGCCUUGGCUCUCGGAGGCGAUGAAGGACGUGAUAAGCUGCGAUAAGCUUCGGGUAGGUGCAAAUAACCUUUGAUCCGAAGAUUUCCGAAUGGGACAACCCGACAUUCUGAAGGAAUGUCAUCCUGCUUGGCAGGAGGCUAACGCAGGGAACUGAAACAUCUUAGUACCUGCAGGAAAAGAAAAUAAUAAUGAUUCCCCAAGUAGUGGCGAGCGAACGGGGAUUAGCCCAAACCAAUGUUGUUACGGCAAUAUUGGGGUUGUAGGACCACGUUGUCGCAAGACAUUCAGUGAGAAGAAUUCUUUGGAAAAUGAAACCAUAGACGGUGAUAGUCCGGUAUUCGAAGCUGAACGAAGCGUAGUGGUAUCCUGAGUAGCGCGGGACACGAGGAAUCUUGCGUGAACCAGCCGGGACCAUCCGGUAAGGCUAAAUACUCCCGAGAGACCGAUAGCGAACCAGUACUGUGAAGGAAAGGUGAAAAGAACCUCGAACAGAGGAGUGAAAGAGACCCUGAAACCAUGCGCCUACAAGCGGUCGGAGCAUGUUAAAAUGUGACGGCGUGCCUUUUGCAUAAUGAACCUACGAGUUACUCUCGCUGGCAAGGUUAAGCGAUUCAGUCGCGCAGCCGAAGCGAAAGCAAGUCCGAACAAGGCGUACAGUCAGCGGGAGUAGACGCGAAACCAAGUGAUCUACCCUUGGUCAGGUUGAAGGUUGGGUAACACCAACUGGAGGACCGCACCGAUAAGCGUUGAAAAGCUUACGGAUGAACUGAGGGUAGGAGUGAAAGGCCAAUCAAACUUGGAGAUAGCUCGUACUCCCCGAAAUGCAUUUAGGUGCAGCCUCGAAGCAGAGUGAUAGAGGUAGAGCGACUGAUAAGAUGCGAGGGCUUCACCGCCUAUCAAGUCUUGACAAACUCCGAAUACUAUCACUUGAUCUUUGGGAGUGAGGGCAUGGGUGCUAAGGUCCAUGUCCGAAAGAGGAACAACUCAGACCACCAGCUAAGGUCCCGAAAUAAGGGCUAAGUUGAAUAAACGAAGUAAAACUGCAAAGACAGCUAGGAUGUUGGCUUGGAAGCAGCCAUUCAUUUAAAGAGUGCGUAACAGCUCACUAGUCGAGGAGUUUUGCAUGGAUAAUAAUCGGGCAUAAGCCCUUUACCGAAGCUGUGGAUGUCGUAAGACAUGGUAGGGGAGCAUUCCGGCGGCGACGAAGGCCGUCCUCGAGGACGACUGGAGCUUUCGGAAAAGCAAAUGUAGGUAUAAGUAACGAUAAAGGGGGCGUGAAACCCCCUCGCCAUAAGACUAAGGAUUCCUGAUCAACGCUAAUCGGAUCAGGGUAAGUCGGGCCCUAAGGCGCAGCCGAACGGCGUAGCCGAUGGAAGAAACGGUAAAGAUUCCGUUACUGGAUAUAGGAGCGAUGUGGAGACGGAGAAGUGACACACCCGCCUGCCGACGGAAGCGCAGGUUAAAGGAAGUAGGUAAACGCCGGGUAGGCAAAUCCGCCCAGCGUGCCGAAGCUGACAGUAUCGAGAGCCCCCGGGCAAUCGAAUAGCGGUGGUAAUCAGGCUCCCAAGAAAAUCCGCUAAGCAAAUUCUAUAUCCACCCGUACCCCAAACGGACACACGUAGUCGGGUAGAAUAUACCAAGGCGCUCGAAAGACUCACGGUUAAGGAACUAGGCAAAUUGACCCUGUAACCUCGGGAAAAAGGGUCCCCAGUAAGAUGGGGCGCAGAGAAUAGGUCCAGGCAACUGUUUAACAAAAACACAGGGCUGUGCAAAAUUUCAAGAUGAAGUAUACAGCCUGACACCUGCCCGGUGCCGGAAGGUUAAGAGGAGAGCUAAUCGCAAGAGAAGGCUUGAAUUGAAGCCCCGGUAAACGGCGGCCGUAACUAUAACGGUCCUAAGGUAGCGAAAUUCCUUGUCGGGU